AGAUGGAUCAUUCACAAUGAAUGUUUACACACUCUGGUACUGCAUGCAUGCAUGCAUGUCUUGGAACAAACGAAAAUAAGGACAUUGGAUUUUGACUUGGACCAAACGAACUGAAAGCAAUUGGUAACUAUCUCAAAUCAAAGUAUAUUAUUAAUUUCACGACUUUCAGCGAUGGAUGUCUCGGAUCUCGUAACGAUGAAGGACGCAGCUAGCUGCGAUACGCAGUGUGACUUGCAAACUUCUGAGAAUCACUAGAUUUUUGAACGCAAACGGCACUCUUGGGCUCUGCUCAGGAGUAUGCUCACUUCAGUGCUUUAUAUGUUUGUUGUCUUAAUUGGUAGACAACGUGGAUAGUCGCUGUUCUUACGGCCUCUGAAAUCGAAUGGUCUUCGACUCUUUGGUGAACCCAUAGAGACAAUGACCCAGUUGUUAUUCAAACAAGCCUGAAUUUGAGCAAGGCUACCCGCUGAAUUUAAGCAUAUUAUUAAGCGGAGGAAGAGAAACUAACUAGGAUUCCCUUAGUAACGGCGAGUGAACAGGGAAGAGCUCAAACUGAAAAUCGGCAGCUUGCUGUUGAAUUGUAGUCUCGAGAAGUGCAACCUGUGUUUGUUCUGGGCUAAGUCUCUUGGAAAAGAGUACCAAAGAGGGUGAAAGUCCCGUCUUUGUCCAGAGUCAUUCACGUUCGGUGCAUUUUCAAAGAGUCGCGUUCCUUGCGAUUGGAGCGCUAAGUGGGUGAUAAAUUUCAUCUAAAGCUAAAUACUAACGAGAUUCCGAUAGCAUACAAGUACCGUGAGGGAAAGAUGAAAAGGACUUUGAAAAGAGAGUUAAAAGGAACUGAAAUCGUUGAAAGGGAAGCGGAGAGUCUCGAAUGUCCUGCAAUUCUGGGAGUUUGACUUAGUUGUAUAUAACUGGUUUUGAACGCUAGAGUUCUGCGGUGACGCUGGAAGAGGUCGUUCGAAUCGAGCAAAGCAAAUGUGUGUUCCCCAUUGGGGUCACUUUCUUGAUGUUUUCGGUUCUUCUGACUUUUAGACUAUCGUGACACUUAAGUGACCGCGAUAUAGUACUCCAGCAAUUUCGUUUCCCUCCGUCCCGUCUUGAAACACGGACCAAGGAGUCUAACUUAUGUGCGAGUACAAGGGUGGAAAACCCACGUGCGAAAUGAAAGUAAUUGUCAGGAAGGGCAACCUGCACUGACGCCCGGCUACCAAGCUGAGGCUGAGCAUAUAGGUUAGGACCCGAAAGAUGGUGAACUAUGCCUGAGUAGGGUGAAGCCAGAGGAAACUCUGGUGGAAGCUCGUAGCGAUACUGACGUGCAAAUCGUUCGUCAAACUUGGGUAUAGGGGCGAAAGACUAAUCGAACCAUCUAGUAGCUGGUUCCCUC
rnacentral:misc_RNA from 1 species